CAGCUGCUCGCGCUUCCUGGGGUCGCAGAAGAACUGCAGCUUCCUGGGCAGCAGCUUCACCUGCACGGGCAUCGCCUCAUACUCCUCGCUGUCAAUGCUGAAGGAGCCCCCAGUUCCCUGUGGGGAGAACAUUCGCAACAGCUCACAGGCCUGCCCACGGGGAUUCCGUCACCCCUGCCUGCGGGUCACCCAGAAACGUCAGCCUCUCACAGGACUUAACCCUCAUGUUCUUUAAAAAUCGCGUCCCUGCCUCCGACUGGGUCUGGAAAUCUCUCAAUUCUGCCACCCACUGCCCCCCCCCCUUGUUUGGCUUUCUCUCUUCCCAGGGUAUUUUGAGAUUUGAGAAACAAGGUUAUGAUUUUUAACAUUGACUAAAAUGCAGGGGUCCUGCCCCAUCUUACAGGAAUUCCUAAACAUGCAGUGUUCCAGAACCUUCUCAGCACUCACCCUAGGUAAGCCACUAUAUCCACCUGACAAUUUCCGUGGUGCUUCUUUAGGACUUGCUUAGCCUUAUAUCUAAAGUAUAGCAACAUUAUUAAUUUUACAGAUUCUAGAAAACCUUCCAUAAUGUGUGCAUUUCGUUCAACAUUUGCUGUUAAAACUGGUGUCGCCCACGGUGGGGACUGCUUCUGUUUUACCUACUAUCAUUUUGAAUGCGACAGGGUGGCAAAGUCAUCUGUAGUAACAUUUUCCUGAGGUAUUAUUACUCACAGAAUAACUAUAUGAUUUAGAUUAUACUCCUAAUCUUUCCCCCACUUCUACAGGUUAUUUUAAGCUUGGCAUUUUAUAACACAGAAAAACUUACUGCCAUUCCCAAGUCGGUUUCCAGAUCCUUUAUUUAAAAAAAAAUGUGAAGGUAGAAUCCACUAGGAGAAUCUGCCAGCUAGAAAAUUCUGUGUUCCAGCAGCCUCUGCUUACUUGACAUUCGGAAAAAUAAAGGCUCAGGAGAUACAAAGACCACUUGACACCACCGUGGUUUGGAAACACUGGGAGGCUUCUGGAGCCCGCACCUCCAUCCCGGACGCAGGAAGGGGGUGUUCUGGUCCUGCCAGGUCUCCCAGAGCCUGGCCAAGUGCGAGGUGAGGCGCCCACACGAGGGUCUGGUAAUAGGAAGAUGGACCGAGACAGAACCCACGGCGGGGGGACCAGAGCCCCCCCCCCCCCAGCUCACCUCGGGAAGCAGCAGGGUGCACUGGCUGGCCUGGAGACACUCGGUGCCGGCAGCACGCAGCCUGGGGUCCCUCACCUUUUUGCUUCUGUUGGUACAAGAAAAGGCACAUUUGGACACGGGCGGGGGCAACUGCAUUUGACUGCCGGAGCACUCAAGUUCUGCUGCUGCAGUUAAACAGACGGGCUCGGGACAGGCUGAACCGCGGGGUUCCGUGCAGAAUUUUCCCACAGUGAUGCUUGCUGAGCCGUGUGACACAGUCAAGAUGGAGAAGGUUAACUUGCUGAAAAGAAUGGUGCAUGAAGAUGAAGUGGUUCUGUACUGAACCCCUGGGCUAUUAAAAAUCCUCAAUUUAAAAGUUAGAAUGAACUGAAAUGUUUGUAGGAAAAGUACUACACUUCUGUUGAGUCCAUCACUUAAAAACAUUUUUUAUUCUAAUUUAGAGGAGAAGGGAGCCGUCUCUGUUCUGUGUGUGCAUGAACACCCGGCGCUGGGGACCCUCUCCCUUCAUAUGAAGGGACUGCAGGGCGCACCGCGAGCACACCGCACGCACGCCGCCUCGGGCGCAGCUACCCGGACAGCGCGUCACGGCCAGUGGAGGGAGCGAAAGCUAAUCCAAGUAAACGAGUCCCUUCUUUAUCAUUACUUGAUAACUAAUUCAUUAGCAGAUGGAACUUUAGAGGCGUCUGUGGAAGCCUCACGAUGUUCCAUUCAGAUGCCCAGAAGAAAUGGACAUGACUUAAUCUCACUUCCUGUAGCGACCAAAGGAAACCAGGCUGCUGCUGAUGGAAAGGACGACAGCAAUGAUGCAGAGCAUAAUGACUUUACCUAAGUGAAGCAAUACAAACAUAAGCGGCUUCUGAGGUUAUUUUUGGAUGUCAGUAGGAUGAAGGAAAUUUGAGCACAGCCAGGCUCGGGCCAGACGCUCCAUCAAGACCGUGUGUGGCUUCUGAACAGCCUCUAGGAGAAGGGAAAGGCUUUUCCCUUCUGCCUCCUGCUGCAGCAAGGCCAUCAAAGGCUGCAGAAUCAGCUAUUCAGCCUCUGAAGAAUCUGUAGCAAAGGCGAGAACACCACAAACCAAUGAAAGACCCGAGGCGGCGGCUGUCGGUGCAGACAAUGGCGUGGCCAUGGAGACCGGGCUGCCGCGGCAGCAAUGCCUAAUCCUGAGCCGGCACGAGAGGGAGCUCGGAGACAAAGCACAGCAGAGCCGACGACCAGUUGGCAUGGCAACACGCCGGCUCCUCGGAGGUGCCCGCAGAAGACUGGUGGGGGGGAGGGGGUUAGGGUGUUCUUGACCAAUCAAACUCUGGCAGAGGCUGGCCUUAACAAAUUGGGACUGGAGACUAUUUUCUAGUGGCAAAGGGGACCGGCCUGGAGAAUGUCCAAGGCACUCAUUACCUUUUCAGAGUUUUCAUUACUGCCCUGGGAGUAGGACAAGGUGGACAGACGUCCAUAGUAACCCACACUGUGAAAGGCUUCACAGCGAGGACCUUCCCCCACACGCUCUCAGGGGACGCUCAGAGACAACCCCGAGGGAGUUAGAUGUGACUACAGUACUCCUUCCUGUACACACAGGAAAGGAGCCAGAGAUUAAAGGGUUUGCCCGCGUCAUGAGGCCAGGACGUGGCAGAAUCUAGAUUUGUAUCCAGUAAUUUUGACCCUGAAGCCAAAAUUCUGGACACUGCAAUGCUACACGGAACGCUUCAUUUCACUGCAAAGGCAGAGCGGGCCCCCACGACAGGAUUUUCCCAAAGCAAACAGGGAAGGCCAAAGCAGGAGAGAUGCACUCUCCACGUCAGCCCAAAUAUUUGAAAGAAAGACGGCGUCCCAGUCCCCAAAGCAGACAAGUCCUCUGCUGGGUCUCCGCCAGGCUUCCUGGGCGCUCUGAAGAGUAUGUCUGAGAACACAAACUACUGAACCCGCAUUUCCUCCGCGCCCGGUCCACUUACCCGAUGGUUAUGAAGUCUCCUUUGCUGACAGUGUCGGGUUCAAUGCAGAUGUUCAUGAAGUCUUCGUUGCUCUACAAGGUCAGGAAGACGAUCAUUAACACUGCAUUUUGGCGAAUGCAGCCUGUCAGCCUUCCUUUGCCCCCAGAGGUUCACACUUUGGAGCUGUUUGCUAGAGAGAGGCCUUUACUUGCAACAGCUUCCUCCUGACUACAUCCCCUUUCUUUCUUUUACCUUAACACUCUUGUCGAGGUGUAAUUUACACCACCGCUUCUUGUUCGGUUGGUUCCUACUCCCCAGAUAGCUACACGAAAACUCAGGUUUGUCGGAACUCAGAGCGGGAGGGGCGGGAGGCUGUCGCCAAUCCUCGUAGCUUUCUGGUGUGUGGGGUUCCCUCGCUCGCAGGCCCCGCUUCGGCCCCCCGCUGCCGGCAAGCCCGCACCCCCGCCACACGACGCCACGGCACACGGGCGGGAGCACGUCUCGGUGCGCAGGGCCCACGGACCUGUGGUUUCUCGUGUUCUACGUGCAGUUUUGAUAUGCGACCAGAGUGGAAGGUCCACAACCUCGUUUCUGCCAUGGUAGUGCUUUUAAAACUUUUCAUUGCCGACCACCGAGAGCUCUGGAAGAACUGAGCUACCGUGAGGUGAAGUGGCUGUAAAACCAGACAGGGUUCUUGUACUGCCCCCCCCCCCUGUUUACAGCAGGCAGUGGCUAGCGACCCAAACCUGGCCCUCUGUAAGUCGGUGUCUCCACCUCUGUCUGCUCCAGGUAGAGGUUGCGCUUCUUACAGGACAGGCUCAGAAUCUGUUGCAGGAUAAUCUGCUGAGAGCGAACAGCCUUUGCCCAAGACUAACGAGCACUACCCAAGCCAACUUCCUCUCUCACCCAGGAGUUACAGGUCACGGAGCAGAUGCCUUUGCUCGAGGCUCACCUUUUAUUCAACAACUUGCUGAACAUCAACUACCGUAAGCUCUUCUAGGUGUUUGGGUUACAUCAAAGAACUAAAAUUAUUUCUGCUUACAAAGAAGUUAUAUUUGAGGAAUGGAAGGGAUAAAAAAAAAUAAAAUCUAACCUUAAUAAAAUAAGUUCUAGAAUAUCCCAGAAGCAUGUUAGAGUGUAUCCGCACAAAAAUAGGAAAUUACAUAAAUGGUAAAUUCUAGAGUAUAUUAGAAAACAAGGAAAUGGGAAGCAUCAGAGAGUUUAUCAGGAACAGGAGAUAAAGGAACGAGCAUAAGAAACACCAGAUGGUGAGAGUGGUAAGGGUCCAGGUGAGCCUCACUCGGGGUGGGGAAACCUCAAGCAGACACCUGAAGGAGGUGAGGGAAUUAGCAGUGUGGACAUCCAGGGCUGUGGUUCUCAAACUUCAGCAAGUAUCACCUGGAAGGUUUGUUAAAACUCAGACUCUGGCUCCAUUCUCAGAGCUUACAGUUCAGUAGAUCUGGGGUGAGGCCCAAGAAUGUCCAUUUCUAACAAGUUUCCAAGGACUGUACUCAGAACCACUGGCCUAGGGAGGAGCGAGCCACACCAAGGAUCUGCCAGGGCAGGGGCCGAGCAUGGAGGCAUGCUGGACAAGCCAAAGAGCAGCGAGGAAGCCAGUGUGGCUGGAGCAGAGCGAGAGAAGGGGGAAAUAGGAGAGGAAGUCAGAGAAGAAGCGAGGCCAGAGCCCUAGGGUCUGUAGACCAUUCCAAGGAAUCUGGCUGUUAGGCUGAGUAAAAUGAGGAGUCAUUGGAAGGUUCUAAGCAGCGAUUAUGAUCUGGCUUCAUUUUAAUAGGACCUCUCUGGCUGCUGUAGUUAGAAUAGGAGGAAGGUGGGGGGAGCAGGGCAUCCACUUAGACACCCACUGGAAUCACCCAGGCAGUUGGUGGUGGCUUAGAGCAGGCAGCAGGGGAGACCGUGUGGAGCACUGGCUGUAUUUAGAAGGUGAAGCCACCAGCGCUUCCACAACGACUAGAUGCGAGGGGAAAGAGGGAGGCUCCAAGACAUCUGCCCCGAACAACUGAAAGAAUAGAAUUACAGUCAGCAGCAGUGGGGAGACCGGAGGGAGCACCGCCGUCAAGGGGUAGAAGCGAAGACAGGAGCUGUUCUGGACACACUGGAAAGGCCUGGUAGCCAGCUAAGAGCACAAGUUAAGUAGACAGUAAUACACAGAAGUCUAGGAUUCGCUUCUUACACAUAGUCCACAUGCAAAAAUCAACAUUGUAGACACACAGAAUUACGUGAGAAGACUCUCAGUAGAUGCUGGAAAGGGACUUGAUAAACUUAAAGAUCCAUUCAUGAUAAAAACAAAUUAGCAAAUUAGGAAUAGAAGGGAACUUCCUUAAUCUUAUAAAAGGGGUCUACAAAAAAAAUCCCAUCAAACUCAAGAACGAAGCAAUGAAACCUUUCUGUCUACACCAGGAGUGAGACAGUGACAUCGGGUAGCACUACUACUAACAGUCUACUGAGGUCCUACCCAAGGCAGUAAGAGAAAAGAUGAGACGGCAAAGUAUUUGAAAGGAAAAGCAAAACUCGCACAAUUUGCAAUUUACAUGAGUGAAUCUAUAGAAAAUCCAAAGGAAUCCAUAAACAAUAAGAACUUAGUUAUAAGGUUGUUGAUUGCAGAUCUCUUAAAAAGUCAAUUACAUGUCCAUCUAAACCAAAUACUUAAAAAUGAAAUUUUAAGGGAUACUAUCUACAAUAGCAUCAGAAAUUAAGAUAACCAGGAAUAUACCCAGCAAAGGGCAAAAGAUUAGAGAAGGCUAUAAAAUUUCAUUGAAAGGCAUUAAAAGCCUAAUGAAGAGCUAUGCCACAUUCACAAAACAGAAGAGUCAAUAUUACAGAAAUGUCAUUUCUCCUCAAAUUGAUCUACAGAUUCAAUGUAAUCCUGAUCAAUAUAACAGACUUUUAUGUGGAAUCUAAUAAAAGAAACCUUUUAAGAGAUUUAUAGAGGUCAAAGAGCCAAGAAUAACCAAGAGACUCUGUAAGAAGAAAAACACAGACUUAUUAUAAAAUGAUAAUUAAAAACAGCAAAGUCUUAAUAUGAGCCUAGAAAAUCAGAGCAAUUGAAGAGAAAAUGCAAACAUGCCCAUGUACACCUACACGUACAGUUUAAUGGGGAUUCAUAGCAGAUGGGCAAGAGGAGGGUGAGGAAGUUCAGUCAAUGGUGCUUAGACAACUGGCUUUCUCUCAGAAAAGAUGAUAAAACUGGAGCCUUGCCUCCAUCAUUCACAAAACUCAAUUAUAGGUGAAAGUGCUUUCUUUCUUUUGUUAGAGAGUGUUUCUUUUUAAAAUGAAAAUAGAAUCAUGUGAUGCAUAUCAUCCUAGCCAGGUUUUUCACCUAACAAUAUACAAUGAAUAUCUUUCCAUGUCAGUAAGUAGAGGACAUUUUAAAUAAAUGCACCAGAACAUACUUAAUCAGUCCCUCGGUUCAUUUGUUUCAUACAUUUUUGCUUUUAUAAAUACAGUGAGCAGAGCUGAACAAGAGAUCCUAAUUUCCACACAGCCCACACCCCUUAAAGCCUCUUUGACUCUGAAUAUACUUUUUUAAGUGAUAAAUGAAUUUGGAGCUACUACAUGGCGUCUUCAUUGUCUUUGAAGUAUGUUCUUGCACGUGCUCUUGUUUUCACCAGGAGGCGUGGGAGGGGGAAAUGAGUGAUAAGCAGCAGCGGAGCAGCGCCCGCCUUCCUAACUGCCUGCAGCUCAUCCUGACCCACAGUCACAUCCUCCACUCACUGGUCUUCUAUCAUCAGAGAAAACGACGAGGAAGAACACGAACGAACGAAAUACCAGAAAUACGCAUUAUCAGAGGUUGGGGAUAAAAGCGAUGUAUAAUUAGAAAUUUUAUCUUCUUAAAAUUCCUCUGGAACAGAAACUAGUUUUUCAACCUUACUACACUCACUUCCACCAGUGUGUACAACAUCCCAUUAUGUAAGAGGGGCAUGUCUACACUGUGUUAAGUAUCUGACUGUUCCUAUGCAAUAAACUCCUAGAAACCUA